UCGUGCACGAUUCCUCUCCUUCAUCUCCUUCGCACGGACGCCACACCACGAAGCAGCUGCUCUUGUUUUCUUUCCAUCUAUUCCUUCGACUGAGAACCUCUGCCGCACGACUUCCUUCACGAUUGCAGCCACGCACAUCUCCACUAUCAUUUCAUCCUCAUCACCCAUCCAUAUCCACCACCACAUCAUCACCAUCUAUCAUCAUCCCAUCUUCCGCCAUCACCCCACGUCCGUAGCUCAUGCCUCAAGUCAACCAUUGAAGUUUAGUUGACUGAAGAAGCCCCACA
rnacentral:lncRNA from 1 species